CCGAGUUUGAUCCUGGCUCAGGACGAACGCUGGCGGCGUGCCUAAUACAUGCAAGUCGAGCGGACAGAUGGGAGCUUGCUCCCUGAUGUUAGCGGCGGACGGGUGAGUAACACGUGGGUAACCUGCCUGUAAGACUGGGAUAACUCCGGGAAACCGGGGCUCCUACCGGAUGGUUGUUUGAACCGCAUGGUUCAAACAUAAAAGGUGGCUUCGGCUACCACUUACAGAUGGACCCGCGGCGCAUUAGCUAGUUGGUGAGGUAACGGCUCACCAAGGCAACGAUGCGUAGCCGACCUGAGAGGGUGAUCGGCCACACUGGGACUGAGACACUUCCCAGACUCCUACGGGAGGCAGCAGUAGGGAAUCUUCCGCAAUGGACGAAAGUCUGACGGAGCAACGCCGCGUGAGUGUUUAAGGUUUUCGGAUCGUAAAGCUCUGUUGUUAGGGAAGCCCAAGUACCGUUCGAAUAGGGCGGUAUUU
rnacentral:rRNA from 1 species